rnacentral:rRNA from 1 species
UACGGAGGGGGCUAGCGUUGUUCGGAAUUACUGGGCGUAAAGCGCACGUAGGCGGUCUUUUAAGUCGGGGGUGAAAUCCUGGAGCUCAACUCCAGAACUGCCUUCGAUACUGGAAGACUCGAGUCCGGGAGAGGUGAGUGGAACUGCGAGUGUAGAGGUGAAAUUCGUAGAUAUUCGCAAGAACACCAGUGGCGAAGGCGGCUCACUGGCCCGGUACUGACGCUGAGGUGCGAAAGCGUGGGGAGCAAACA